UACAGAGGGUGCAAGCGUUAAUCGGAAUUACUGGGCGUAAAGCGUGCGCAGGCGGUAAGUUAAGUCUGAUGUGAAAGCCCCGGGCUCAACCUGGGAAUGGCAUUGGAAACUGGCUUGCUGGAGUGUGGCAGAGGGGGGUGGAAUUCCGCGUGUAGCAGUGAAAUGCGUAGAGAUGCGGAGGAACACCGAUGGCGAAGGCAGCCCCCUGGGCCAACACUGACGCUCAGGCACGAAAGCGUGGGGAGCAAACAGG
rnacentral:rRNA from 1 species